GUGGCAAAAGGGUCUACUCGGGAGAAUCAUUUCAGGGGUCUUUUGCAAAAUAUUCAGUUAAUCUUUGAUACUUCAAUAGAGGAUGUUCUGCGUAAGAAAGGAUGCCAGAGAAGCCAGUCAA